UACGUAGGUGGCAAGCGUUGUCCGGAAUUAUUGGGCGUAAAGAGCUCGUAGGCGGUUUGUCGCGUCUGCUGUGAAAACUCGGGGCUCAACCCCGGACUUGCAGUGGGUACGGGCAGACUAGAGUGUGGUAGGGGAGACUGGAAUUCCUGGUGUAGCGGUGAAAUGCGCAGAUAUCAGGAGGAACACCGAUGGCGAAGGCAGGUCUCUGGGCCACUACUGACGCUGAGAAGCGAAAGCAUGGGGAGCGAACAGG
rnacentral:rRNA from 1 species